UGAGAGAGAAAACUGGCUGUAACAUCUCCCACCCCAUUAAUGCCAGGGUUGAUUUGGCUGGUCUGGCUGCCAAGGCAAGUGUCCCUUUCCUCCUCACUGCUCCAUGGUAGCCUCCCAAAGCUGCAUGGUUGAUCAAAAAGAACACCUACUCCUUGUAGAGGAGGAACCCUUCCUCCUCUUGGUAUGCAAGUAGGUACACUUCCCUGCUAGAACUUCCAAACAAACUCUUAAUGCCCACCUACUAAUUUUAGAAGUCCCAACUUCUGUUAGGAACUACUCAAGAAAACUCAUUUAUUCCUGGGAGGACAAUAAAAAUUGUUCUCUUACAG
rnacentral:snRNA from 1 species